rnacentral:rRNA from 1 species
UGAGGAAUAUUGGACAAUGGAGGCAACUCUGAUCCAGCCAUGCCGCGUGAAGGACUAAGGCCCUAUGGGCUGUAAACUUCUUUAGACGCAGAGCAAUAAGGGCCACGCGUGGUCCGAUGAGAGUAUGCGUAGAAUAAGCAUCGGCUAACUCCGUGCCAGCAGCCGCGGUAAUACGGGGGAUGCGAGCGUUAUCCGGAUUCAUUGGGUUUAAAGGGUGCGUAGGCGGGGCAUCAAGUCAGUGGUGAAAUGGUGUGGCUCAACCAUAGCAUUGCCGUUGAAACUGAUACCCUUGAGUGCAGUAGAGGUAUGCGGAAUGUGUUGUGUAGCGGUGAAAUGCAUAGA